GUAGGGUGCGAGCGUUAAUCGGAAUUACUGGGCGUAAAGCGUGCGCAGGCGGUUUUGUAAGUCGGAUGUGAAAUCCCCGGGCUCAACCUGGGAACUGCGUUCGAAACUGCAAGGCUAGAGUGUGUCAGAGGGGGGUAGAAUUCCACGUGUAGCAGUGAAAUGCGUAGAGAUGUGGAGGAAUACCAAUGGCGAAGGCAGCCCCCUGGGAUAACACUGACGCUCAUGCACGAAAGCGUGGGGAGCAAACAGGAUUAGAUACCCUGGUAGUCCACGCCCUAAACGAUGUCAACUAGUUGUUGGUAGAGUAAAAUCUAUGAGUAACGUAGCUAACGCGUGAAGUUGACCGCCUGGGGAGUACGGUCGCAAGAUUA
rnacentral:rRNA from 1 species